UCAAAUCAAGAAGCUUGUGCCGAUGUAUAUUGCUUAUAUUUGGUUAGGUUGCCAUCACAAUGGAAGGCUCAAGGCAUGGGGCAUAUGAAUUCGAUCCAUCGCUUUGCCAAGUUGGCACAUGAUGUGUCAUCGUAGCUAAGUACCCGAAUUUGUUCUGAAACAUGUCAUCUAAUCUGUGAAACAACUUAUAACGUUAUCUUAUUUCUACAAAUUUUGAGCUCUAAUCUUCUUCAGAAUUUGUUCAGACUCUUGAAGGUUAUACAAACGCAGACUGGUGAGUCGAAUCUCGAAAUCGAAUCAAGAAAGCCCCAAAUGAUCUGUUAGAUUUGAAUUCCGGCCCGACGGGCGAGGAAGAUCGAGCGAACCCACCUUGGUCUCCAGAAGCCCCGUCGAAGCCGUCGCCGCCGACGAGAGGGCCGCUUUCGCAGCUCCUCCUCCUCAUCUACGUGAUCUUUCCUUCGUUGCUGCUCUCGUCUUCUUUGGAGUAUGUCGCCGGAACCGGAGGCGACGCGAGCAGCAGCAGGACCUCCGGUGCGAGAUUGGAAUGGAAAAUCCUUACCAAGAGAAAUUUCUCCUCUCAGAUCCGUCUCCAUCCCCAGAUCCUCCUCAUGGUUACCGUCGCUUGCACGCCGCUUCCCUUUCUUGAUUAUCCCUUUUCUCUUGAUGCUUGCGUAUUGCUAGAUCGAUCAAGAACAUGGAUUUUAGGUGAAUCACGAGGUCCAUAUCAAUCUUGAUUGCUGGUGAUUUGAGAAUGUGUUUUCUUUUCUUUAUUUACCUUUUCUUAAAGCUCGCGUACCGUUAGAUCGAUCAAUAAGAUGGUUUUUAGGUGCAUUAUGAAGUGUAUUCCAUUCUUGAUUACCGGUACUUUGAAAAAGAUGUUUUCUGUUUUUUUCGAUCAAGGGUUUGCUGGAACUAUUUUUGCUCUGGUUAUCUUUCUGACUUUUCUUGAUGUUUGAUCGUAUUGCUUCGAUUAUUCCCAUUCAAACCGUUUCACAUAUGAUAGUAGAAACUUUUUCUUGGGGAUGAGUCACGGAAGUCGAAGGAUCUAGGAUUUGGAUUGCUUUAUUCGUAAGAUUUUCCUUAUUAUAUUCGAUAAUUAGAAGACUGCGACUUUCUUUUCCCUGCCAUGGACCUUAAAUGCAUAUUCCUUGUUAGCUGUAAAAUUAUACUUUUCUGGCACUUUACGACAUCCAUUAUUAUGCAGCUUGCAAUUCUGUUCACAUGAAUCAUUUUAUCGAAAGGGAAGCAGAGAGGGAUUUACCAAUGUGAAAUGUAAUUGGUUAGUUGGUUGUCUAUAGGCAGUUUAAGAGACAUCCUUGUGCUUUCUUUGGUCGGUCUCGGCAAUUCUGCUCCAACAGAGCAACGAGUUUGACUUAUGUUGGUGAGACUAAAACUUAUCUGGUAAGAAUAAUCUUAACAGUCAUCUGCUCUAGUCGACGUUGAGAUAAACGAUUAAAAUUCAAUAGAUGAAAAUUCCUUUUAAAAUGGGAUAAAAGCUAUUCAUGUGGUUCUACCUUGAUAAGAAUAUAUGUGAGCAGAAAUGUAUGUUGUGAUUUCAUAGCAGUGAACCUUAUGAGCAAAUUUCAAUUUCUUUUCUCUUUGGCAAGGGUUUCUUUUUUUUUUUUUAAGAGUAAGCGACAAAGGUAGUAUUGAAAUCCAAGACCUUACAAUAAACUAUCAAUGUCUUUACCAACUAAGCUAGCCUUUGGCUAGGUUAAUGUCGAUAAGAAGAUUAGUAUUUAUAUUCUUUGGUAUCAGAGCUUGUCUACUUUUGGCCCCUCUUAUCAAAUUUAACAUGUUGCGUUUUGCCUAAACUGAGACUUCAUAGGAUCUCUGGCUCUUGAUGUCCUAAUACCUUCUUCUUUAAGCCUUUCUUCUUGAACAGUGUGUGUGAGUGUGCAUGCCUCGGGUGACCAUGUGUAUGUGUCUAUGAAUGUAUGAUGUGCACUUGAUACCAUCCAUUUCCUAUUUUGCAAAUUGUUUCAAUAUGACAUGUGGUGAUUAAUGGUUGGUAAAUUUAUGAAGUGUGCAUCAUGUUAACAUUGCUUAAAUUAAUGAUAAUUUUAUCUCCAUGAAAUUACUGAUUCUCCUUGUUGCAACUGUGUGACUUCCUGUUCAUCAUUGUUUUCAAAUCGCUUAAACGUUACUUAAACAUUGAGGAAAUCUUCAAUUUUUGUCUUGUGGUUGAUCUUUUGGUUUCUAAUCGCUUGAAUGUUGUUUUGUUUGAGCGGCUCUUCCACAGUUCCCUAGUUGAAUGAAUAUUUAGAAUACAUAUUCUUAGAGCUCUUGAUGAGGACACUUGGAUAUGACAACCCAAUCCCCUAGGCUUGUUGUCUACUAUUGAUUUCUAUCGGUAUAUCAAAUCAGAUUCUAAGGAGGAGGUUUGGCAGGGUUAGAAGGCGAUAUGGCUCCUUCCUAUCUCCCCUAAAGUUAAAACUCUUUCUAUGGAAACUCUCCUGGAACCGAUUACCCAUCUCUGACCUCUUUGCACAUAUUCUACGCCACCAGCAAGAUAAUUGCUUUGUAUGUCACCUUUCGGUAGAUACCUCCCCACAUAUUCUCCUACAAUGUUCUUCAGCCCUCUCUUUUUGGAAUCUGCUCCAGGCCAAAGUGAAAUUUGUUUCAAGUUCUUUUGACACAUGGGCUUAUCUUGGCUUCACGAGGGAGAUAGUCAUGACAAACAAAUCUCUAGAACGAUCUUAAGUCUCAUUUCCUAUUCUUUUUGUUGUCUUUGGCUCAAUAGGAAUGAGGUCAGAUUCCAUGACUGUCGUGCCAAACCUCCUACCAUAGUCUCCAGGGUGAUUGCCCUCACCAAUGAAAUCGCUGAAUCAUAUCCUUCGCCUGAGAAAACUAGGAAUAUAUGCACUAUGUAUCCUCAACCAGGAACCAUAUUUAUCUUCCUCUUUGCUGCAAACUCAUCGCUAGCUGUGGGCCGAUCGAAUCCCCUAAUGGCAGAGGCUCUCGUUGUCCUGGAGGCGCUGAAACACACAAAGGCACUGCAGUGGCACCACCCCUGGAUCCAAACUGACUCCCAAUCACUAAUAUCUAUUGUUAACAGUGCCAAGGAAAUCCCUUGGUUCCUUUCUGUCAUUAUUUCUGAUGUAACGUUAUUUAUGGCCAAACUUCACAUCAUUGCUCACAGUUUUAUCCCUAAGGCUCUCAACAGCAAAGUUCAUCAGCUUGUUGCUUUUCUAAGAACCAAUGGGUUCUCAUGUUUUUAUAAAGUGGGUGAUUCUGAUAUAUCAUCCAA